GGUGGAUGGGCUCUCACCUAGGGUGUACACCUAAAGUCUAAGAGGUCUACACUGAGGACUAAGUGGAUGGGUUCUCACCUAAGGUGUGUGCUCCUAAAACUCUAGGAAACCUACUCUUUAACUUAUGCUUAAGGUGAUUUAAGGUUUUCUAUAUCUUCCAAUUAAUUAAAUCAUCAAUCCCCAUUUUUAUGACUUAACCAUUUAAAAAA